rnacentral:tRNA from 1 species
GAGGUUGUGGCUUAGUGGUAGAGCACUUGCCUUUCAUGUGUGAGGCACUGGGUUUAAUUCUCAGAACCACA